rnacentral:rRNA from 1 species
GUGAGGAAUAUUGGUCAAUGGGCGAGAGCCUGAACCAGCCAAGUAGCGUGCAGGAUGACGGCCCUAUGGGUUGUAAACUGCUUUUGUACGGGGAUAAAGGAGCUUACGUGUAAGUUUUUGCAGGUACCGUACGAAUAAGGACCGGCUAAUUCCGUGCCAGCAGCCGCGGUAAUACGGAAGGUCCGGGCGUUAUCCGGAUUUAUUGGGUUUAAAGGGAGCGCAGGCUGUCGGUUAAGCGUGUUGUGAAAUGUAGGUGCCCAACACCUGCACUGCAGCGCGAACUGGCUGACUUGAGUACGCACGACGUUGGCGGAAUUUGCCGUGUAGCGGUGAAAUGCUUAGAUAUGGCGAAGAACUCCGAUUGCGAAGGCAGCUGACGGGAGCGCAACUGACGCUCAUGCUCGAAAGUGCGGGUAUCGAACAGGAUUAGAAACCCCAGUAGUCC